AUUACCCUUCGUGAUGUGGUUAUUGCAGUCGUAAUUACUUGAUUGCAUAGGGCAAUAUUUUAUUGCCCUUUUAUUUUG
rfam:Microbacterium sp. STBG005 Ion018_assembly_c5883, whole genome shotgun sequence.